CUCCUUCAGUUAGGCUGGAUCGGAGACAGGUGCUGCAUGGCUGUCGUCAGCUCGUGUCGUGAGAUGUUGGGUUAAGUCCCGCAACGAGCGCAACCCUCGCCCUUAGUUGCCAGCAUUUGGUUGGGCACUCUAGGGGGACUGCCGGUGAUAAGCCGAGAGGAAGGUGGGGAUGACGUCAAGUCCUCAUGGCCCUUACGGGCUGGGCUACACACGUGCUACAAUGGUGGUGACAGUGGGCAGCGAGACCGCGAGGUCGAGCUAAUCUCCAAAAGCCAUCUCA
rnacentral:rRNA from 1 species